UGCCGGAUACUUUAGGCCGCCUCAGAAU
rnacentral:sRNA from 1 species